AAUAUAGUCUCUCCGUACCAAAUUUUUUGUCUUUGAUUUGUCUAGAUAUGAAUGCAUCUAGUCAUGUAUUAGUAUUUAGAUACAACUAUUUCUAGACAAAAGUAAGACAAGAAUUUUGGAAAGUAGGGAGUAGUAC
rnacentral:pre_miRNA from 1 species